rnacentral:rRNA from 1 species
GGUGAACGCUGGCGGCGUGCUUAAGACAUGCAAGUCGAACGCAGUCUUCGGACUGAGUGGCGCACGGGUGAGUAACACGUAACUGACCUACCCCCAAGUCGCGAAUAACCAGCCGAAAGGAUGGCUAAUACGUGAUGUGAUGAUCCGCUGUGGCGGAUUAUUAAAGACUUGAUCGCUUGGGGAUGGGGUUGCGUUCCAUCAGCUAGUUGGUAAGGUAAAGGCUUACCAAGGCAACGACGGAUAGCCGGCCUGGGAGGGUGGCCGGCCACAGGGGCACUAAGACACGGUUCCCACUCCUACGGGGGGCAGCAGUGAGGAAUCUUCCACAAUGGGCGCAAGCCUGAUGGAGCGACGCCGCGUGAGGGAUGAAGGUUCUCGGAUCGUAAACCUCUGAACCAACGACGAAAGACCCGACAAGGGAGAUGACGGUAGUUGGGUAAUAGCACCGGCUAACUCCGUGCCAGCCGCCGCCGUAAAAC